rnacentral:rRNA from 1 species
UGGGGAAUAUUGCACAAUGGGGGAAACCCUGAUGCAGCGACGCCGCGUGAACGAAGAAGGUAUUCGUAUCGUAAAGUUCUGUCCUAUGGGAAGAUAAUGACAGUACCAUAGAAGAAAGCUCCGGCUAAAUACGUGCCAGCAGCCGCGGUAAUACGUAUGGAGCGAGCGUUGUCCGGAAUUAUUGGGCGUAAAGGGUACGCAGGCGGUUUAAUAAGUCGAAUGUUAAAGAUCGGGGCUCAACCCCGUAAAGCAUUGGAAACUGAUAAACUUGAGUAGUGAAGAGGAAAGUGGAAUUCCUAGUGUAGUGGUGAAAUACGUAGAUAUUAGGAGGAAUACCAGUAGCGAAGGCGACUUUCUGGACACAAACUGACGCUGAGGUACGAAAGCGUGGGGAGCAAACAGG